GUUCAGGAGUCCGAUGGCUGGAGCGGUUUAAGAUGCCAGAUUUAAGCUCUGGUUCUCGAAAGAGAGCGAGGGUUCGAACCCCUCUCCUGACA